rnacentral:rRNA from 1 species
CAAUGCAGCUCACGCUUUAAGAUGAGCCUGCGUCCCAUUAGUUAGUUGGUGAGGUAAGAGCUUACCAAGACGAUGAUGGGUAGCUGGUCUGAGAGGACGAUCAGCCACACUGGAACUGAACACGGUCCAGACUCCUACGGGAGGCAGCAGUGGGGAAUCUUGCGCAAUGGGGGAAACCCUGACGCAGCGACGCCGCGUGGGUGAAGAAGGCCUUAGGGUCGUAAAGCCCUGUCGGAAGGGAAAAUGUCGAUAGUGCUAAUAUCAUUAUCGAGUGAUGGUACCUUUUGAGGAAGCACCGGCUAACUCUGUGCCAGCAGCCGCGGUAAUACAGAGGGUGCAAGCGUUGUUCGGAAUUAUUGGGCGUAAAGGGCAGGUAGGUGGUCUAAUAAGUCUACUGUGAAAGCCCCGGGGCUUAACCUGGGAAGUGCGGUGGAUACUGUUAGACUAGAGUGCUAUAGGGGUAGGCGGAAUUCCCGGUGUAGCGGUGAAAUGCGUAGAUAUCGGGAGGAACAUCAGAGGC